rnacentral:lncRNA from 1 species
UUUUCAUAACUCUCAAACAUCUCCUCAAGUUCUAAGCUUUUAAAUCAUUCUCUGGAGCAUCCUACCUUGGAAGGAAGCUCUCUUAGUCUUAAUCUUCGUGCUAAGGACUCUUGAGCCCGGUAAAAGCUAUAUGUACUUGCUGAUUGAUAUACGGCUGGGAUUAAACUUUUAUUUUUAGCUCAGGUCAAUACUUUUAACUUAUUUUUCGUUAUACGGGCUUGGGAUAUGGUACUACGCGAAAUGGGCUGGUUACUCCUAGUAUCAAAUAAAGAGUCUUGCAAGCUUUUGAUGCUUAAAUCUGUUGAACAAUAUUUCUUUCUAUUUUAGAUCCGCCUGUGGAUCCACUUACAAUCCGUUGUGUAAUAUUUUAUGUUACUUUCAAUUCGGUUUGUAUAAUUAAUACUUUAGACUUCCGCUGUGCAAUGAACUGUGAUUAUUU